CUCAUGUGACCUGUGGUUUAGCUGCACUCGAUGCUGGAAAAACCCAGAGACACGCAGCACAUUCGCAGAAGGGUUGGGGGACAUUCAGAAGCGUGCAGCAUAGCGAAAGCACGUCUAGAAAUGAAUCAGAGCAUCGCAGAAUGACAUAUCAAAAAGCCUGACAGUUCAUCAAAAAACUCUAAUCUAAAGACUUCAUUGUCCCAUCUGAGAAACCCAGAAGACAUCCAGGAGUUCCCGGCCCGCCUGUAGACAUAUUCAGAUAUUGAUCAACCGGGGCCGGGUCUCGGGGGCAACAGUCUUAGGAGAGAACCCCAGACUUCCCUCUCCCUAUACACGUUCUCCAGCUCCUCCGGGGAGAUCCUGAGGCGUUCCUAGGCCAGCUCAGAGGCAUAGUCCCUCCAGCGUGUCCUGCGUCUUCCCCGAGGCCGCCUCACGGUGGGACAUGCCUGGAACACCUCCCUAGGUAGGCGUCUAGGAGGCAUCCGAAACAGAUGCCCGAGCCACCUCAGCUGACUUCUCUCGAUGUGGAGAAGCAGCGGCUCUACUCCGAGCUCCUCGCCCUAUCCCUGAGAGUUCGCCCUACCACCCUUUGAAGGAAACUUUUGAAGCCAACAGAACAACAUCGUCUGCAAAUAACAGAGAUGAAUUUCGAACUGGACCUCCUCCAGCCCAAUGCUGCACCUUGAAAUUCUGUCCAUAAAAAUUCUGAAUAGAAUUGGUGACAAGGGCCAGCCCUGCCAGUGGAAACAAAUCUGACUUAUUGCUGACAAUGCGAACCAGACUCCUACUCUGUUCAUACAGGGACGAGACGACAAGUUUUAAACUUACAAUUGAUUAUAAAAGACAGAACUGUAAAUUGCUGUACACGCACAAGCAGCGGAAUUUUUAAUUUGCUCCUGAAUCCGCUGCAAAUUGCUGCUUUUUCUUUGACACUUGUGUUUCCCAUGGCCCGUUGGAAAAUAUCUUUAUAUUAGGCUACUGUUCGGCCUGGAUCCAUCUCCCGAUUAUUCCAUUCGAAGUUUACAGCUUUAACUCUCAGGGUUCGAAGACCGCGUAUACAUGUUUGAAGCGUCUUCUUUCAGUUUUGAUCGUACAGAUAAGAUCAAUACAUCAAUCAAAUCUGUUAAGUGUCUAAUUUUUAUUGUGUGCACUCACAAUGACAACAAACGUGUGUGCUUUUGCAAAAUAUAGAUAAUAAACAGUGUAGGCAAUCUGUCUUUUCUCUCUCCGUGAACCAUUUUUAAAAACGCGUCAGUAAGUCAUUCUUUAAGAAAACCUACUUCCUUAUAUCAGUCAGUGCUUAUAUAUAGAAAGAAAGAUAGAAUGCGCAUAUAGAUAGAUAGAUAGAUUAGUUGCACACACACAUAUAUACAUAUACA